rnacentral:rRNA from 1 species
AUUGCACGCUGGCGGCAGGCAUAACCCAUGCAAGUCGAGCGGAGCGGCGGACGGGUGAGUAAUGCCUAGGAAUCUGCCUGGUAGUGGGGGAUAACGUCCGGACACGGGCGCUAAUACCGCAUACUAUCAGACGAGCCUAGGUCGGAUUAGCUAGUGGGUGGGGUAACGGCCUACCAAGGAGACGAUCCGUAACUGGUCUGAGAGGAUGAUCCGUCACACUGGAACUUAGACACGGUCCAGACUCCUCCGUGAGGCAGUAUUGGUGAUUAUUGGACAAGGGUCGAAAGCCUGAUCCAUUCAUGCCGCGUGUAUGAAGAAGGUCUUCGGAUUGUAAAGCACUUGAAGUUGGGAGGCGUUACCAACAGAAUAAGCACCGGCUAACUUCGUGCCAGCAGCCGCGGUAAUAC